rnacentral:lncRNA from 1 species
GUUUCAAAUUUCAAAAUUACAUCAAUACCUCCAUCCACUUCUCUCUCUCUCUCUCUCUCUCUCUUUUCUCUGUAGAGAGAAGACAUUUAACAACAAUCGCCUCCACCAAUUCAACAUAUCUUUAUCCCUCCAUCCCAUUCCUACAUAUUCAUCGUAGAUCAGAGAGUAAACAACUCUCUUCAAUCUUGGAUUUGCUGCCUCCUUGAAGACGUUUCUCUCCGUUGAUUAUUUACAAGGAUUGAAGAUGAUCAAGGGUUUGGUAAGUAGAGAUUCCAACGAUCUAUGGCAUAAACAAGCUUGAUUCAUCAACAAGGAGAAGAAGAUGGAUAAUGAGAAGAUGAAUGCCUUACAAAAACUGAUUCCAGAUUCAUAUAAGGUUAUGUGUAUAGUCAGAAUCUUUUGAUCGUUUCAUAUGUUUCUUACAAGGUUAUGAUUUAGGGCUUUUUGAAGUUUUUUUUCAUUCAUUAUGUGCUCAGUUGUGCACUCAAUGAUUUGUAAAAAAUUGUGUGAGUUAGUUUUUCACCUUUUUUAUCACCUUUUUGCUGAACUUUUUUAAUUUUUAAGUUAAAUAUUCACAUGAUAUAUGUGUUUUGAUAGUUCACACGAAUUAAAAUAUUAUAAAUCUUUCAUUGCAGUUUUUAAUGGAAUAUAAUUUUUGUCUGGUUGUUGAUUUGUUGAUAGGUUUUGCAGCAGCAUGCUUAUGUAAAAUUAUGUAAAAAUUCAGGCGGAAGGCUUUGGCAUUUGGCAAUGACACUAAAUUCGUCGCUGGAAUCUAAGUUACAAAGUGCAGCACCCCAUAGGGAGGGUUGAUUAAAGCAUGGUUUAGAGAGUCGCCAUGUGGGGUGCUUGACUGCUGCAAUAAUCGGUUCAAGAAAAUGCUAUCGUUUCGGCUUUAUCGGUGUAUGCUUCUAAUGGUCCCAUGCAGUAUGUUAAUUCAGAUCCUUUGGUCUCUGUAGAGAAUCCUGCUGGUGAAGUCGAUACGGAUGCUAAACCGUUUAAAAGGCACUCUGCACAACGGUCACGAGUACCGGAGUACGUAAACUUCAGUAUAUAGCAGAACUGGAAAGAACUGUUAAGAAUUAUCAGAAUAUUGUGUCAGAAUUGGUUGUUAGAGUUAAAUCAUUAGGUGAGCAGCGUGUUUAUAUGUCAAUAGAAAACAAGCAACUUAAACAGCAGUUAUGGUAGGCUGCAGCAGGAAAACUUUGUCAAAGAACGUUCAAUCCGAACCCGAAAAUCGUGUAACCCAGCUGCCGCCACGACCCGCAUUCUCCAGCUGUGAUUAGAUUCAGCCUGUUGUGACUCGCUUCGGAGAGCUGGGAACGACCGGAAGUUGUGGUUGCUGUGUGACCGAGGUAUAAUCGACUUGAAGUUUGUAGAAGUAAUUUUAUACAUCAGCUUCAAAAGGAUCAGAAGACAUGUGAUAUGCUAGCUG